GUGAACAUGACAUCACACUAUACUGUAUGUACAGCACAGUAUGACCCCUGCUGUAGGAUAGGCGCCCAUUCUAUGUAUUGCUGCAGGGCUGACACCGACUGUAGUCUGUCCCCAUGGUCUGAGCCCCUGGUAACCAGUCGAGUAGCUAGAAAUGACUGGGCCCCACAGCAAAUUUUUAGACGGGCAAGCAGGCGUCAUACAGUGGCAUUUGAUUCUUUAACAUACAUGUGUUUUUACUGGACUAUGACGUACACGAUACAAAAAUGCAGUACUCCACGUUCUUGUAUCCUGCACAAUCCGGUAAAAAAAAUGGAUACUUUU